ensembl:lncRNA
GGGAUGAUGUGAAAAGACUGCAAAAUAAAACAGACUCAAAGACGGGGGUGUGGAUUGGACUGCAAAGGUCCAUUUUUGGCUACAGUCCUGAGUGGAAGUGGAUUUCAGGGUAUAAUGUUGUAAAAUCACAGUUGAAUAGAACGUCGUCCGCCAACUCUGACUUUGACAACCACUGUGGAAAAGUCAUCUUUGAUAAUAAGACAGAAGAAAUCAAGUGGUCCAACGCCAACUGCCAUGAAAAAUUACCAUACAUUUGUCAAAGAAUGAAUGAAAAGCCUUGUACUGAUGAUUAUACAGAGAAGUCAGAGCUUUUCAUUGACAUUGACUGAACUGAUAGCACCAAAG